UAGAGUUUGAUCAUGGCUCAGGAUGAACGCUAGCGACAGGCCUAACACAUGCAAGUCGAGGGGCAUCGGGGCUAGGAGCAAUCCUUGCCGCCGGCGACCGGCGCACGGGUGAGUAACGCGUAUGCGACCUGCCCGUUGCAGGGGGAUAAUCGGGAGAAAUCCCGUCUAAUACCGCGUAAUGCCGCGGGGCUGCAUGGCCCUGCGGCCAAAGGGAGCGAUUCCGGCAACGGAUGGGCAUGCGUGACAUUAGCUAGUUGGCGGGGCAACGGCCCACCAAGGCGACGAUGUCUAGGGGUUCUGAGAGGAAGGUCCCCCACACUGGUACUGAGACACGGACCAGACUCCUACGGGAGGCAGCAGUGAGGAAUAUUGGUCAAUGGGCGCGAGCCUGAACCAGCCAAGUCGCGUGAGGGAUGACGGCCCUACGGGUUGUAAACCUCUUUUGUCGGGGAGCAAAUUCCGUUACGUGUAACGGAGUCGAGAGUACCCGAAGAAAAAGCAUCGGCUAACUCCGUGCCAGCAGCCGCGGUAAUACGGAGGAUGCGAGCGUUAUCCGGAUUUAUUGGGUUUAAAGGGUGCGUAGGCGGACUGUCAAGUCAGCGGUAAAAUACGGGGGCUCAACCUCCGCCCGCCGUUGAAACUGACGGUCUUGAGUGGGCGAGAAGUAUGCGGAAUGCGUGGUGUAGCGGUGAAAUGCAUAGAUAUCACGCAGAACUCCGAUUGCGAAGGCAGCAUACCGGCGCCCAACUGACGCUGAAGCACGAAAGCGUGGGUAUCGAACAGGAUUAGAUACCCUGGUAGUCCACGCAGUAAACGAUGAAUACUAGCUGUCCGGGGCGAAUGAGCCCUGGGUGGCACAGCGAAAGCGUUAAGUAUUCCACCUGGGGAGUACGCCGGCAACGGUGAAACUCAAAGGAAUUGACGGGGGCCCGCACAAGCGGAGGAACAUGUGGUUUAAUUCGAUGAUACGCGAGGAACCUUACCCGGGCUCAAACGACACAGGAACGUACCUGAAAGGGUUCGGCUCUACGGAGCCUGUGUCGAGGUGCUGCAUGGUUGUCGUCAGCUCGUGCCGUGAGGUGUCGGCUUAAGUGCCAUAACGAGCGCAACCCCCAUCGACAGUUGCUAACAGGUCAGGCUGAGGACUCUGUCGAGACUGCCGGCGCAAGCUGCGAGGAAGGCGGGGAUGACGUCAAAUCAGCACGGCCCUUACGUCCGGGGCGACACACGUGUUACAAUGGCAGGUACAGCGGGAAGCCACCUGGCGACAGGGAGCGGAACCCGAAAGCCUGUCUCAGUUCGGAUUGGAGUCUGCAACCCGACUCCAUGAAGCUGGAUUCGCUAGUAAUCGCGCAUCAGCCACGGCGCGGUGAAUACGUUCCCGGGCCUUGUACACACCGCCCGUCAAGCCAUGGAAGCCGGGGGUGCCUGAAGUGCGCUGCCGCGAGGAGCGCCCUAGGGUAAAACCGGUGACUGGGGCUAAGUCGUAACAAGGUAGCCGUA
rnacentral:rRNA from 1 species